UGCAAUACCAUGCAAAGCUUGCAUGUAUGAAAUGAAUGUAUGAAUGAAUGAAUGCUUGUGCGUGAGGGUUAGAAUGAAGGGUUACAAAGUUAACGUGAAGGACACCCUUAACUUUAGUCUCUCGUCUUUGUGUGAUGAAAGCUUCGUGAGAUAACUAAAAUCCAAUGAUACCGAAGUCCAAAUAGAAUGCCCGGAGACCAAUUGAUGAAGUCUAAUGGAUAUAGAAAAAUAAUUGAAAUGGCACAACCAUUUUUAAAUCAAUAAUGGAAUAAGAUAACCACGAAACCAUUAGCUUCGGGGAGAAAACCGAUUACCCAAAAGCAAUAUCCUGCAAGAAAUGUGACGAAGUGCGCAUGCAAAACAUGAUAGUUCCAUGCAUCCCCUCCAUGUGAAUGGGAUACAAAGUAGAAUUAAGAAUAUCAUGUAGCGCAUUUGAGAUGAGGGUAUAUGAACAUAUGAAAACAGAGGGCAAAAAACGCUAGAAUUCCUUACCUUGGUGAGAAGGGUCAUCCUAAAAAAGAGAUGUUAUAUCCUUCCAUAUGAAGGGUUAGUGUGAGCGCUAGAUUAAGUAAAGGCUCCCAAAAUGAAGGGUAAGAAUGAAAACCGAUUAUGCAUAAAUAAAAC
rnacentral:lncRNA from 1 species